rnacentral:rRNA from 1 species
UACGUAGGGUGCGAGCGUUGUCCGGAAUUAUUGGGCGUAAAGAGCUCGUAGGCGGUGUGUCACGUCGGCCGUGAAAACCUGCAGCUUAACUGUGGGCGUGCGGUCGAUACGGGCAUCACUGGAGUUCGGUAGGGGAGACUGGAAUUCCUGGUGUAGCGGUGAAAUGCGCAGAUAUCAGGAGGAACACCGAUGGCGAAGGCAGGUCUCUGGGCCGAUACUGACGCUGAGGAGCGAAAGCGUGGGGAGCAAACAGG